rnacentral:rRNA from 1 species
UACGGGGGGGGCAAGCGUUGUUCGGAAUUACUGGGCGUAGAGGGCUCGUAGGCGGCCAACUAAGUCAGACGUGAAAUCCCUCGGCUUAACCGGGGAACUGCGUCUGAUACUGGAUGGCUUGAGGUUGGGAGAGGGAUGCGGAAUUCCAGGUGUAGCGGUGAAAUGCGUAGAUAUCUGGAGGAACACCGGUGGCGAAGGCGGCAUCCUGGACCAAUUCUGACGCUGAGGAGCGAAAGCCAGGGGAGCAAACGGG